rnacentral:rRNA from 1 species
UUUGCGCAUUGUAAGCCUGUUGCAGUGGUUUCCAGGCUCAUAAAAUUUUCAGUACAGUUCACCACAGGGCUUGUCCCUGAGUGGGUGCCACGCUCCGUCGUUGCGCGCCCGGGAUGGAGCCUCCCUUCACAGACAGGUUGCUUGAGGGUGGAGCCCUAAGUAGUUGGUGAACUCCAUCUAAUGCUAAAUACGACGGAGAGAACGAUAGUUCAGAAGUAACGUAAGGGAAAGUUGGAAAGAGCUUUGAAGAGAGUGUUCAACAGGGCAGUUCACUGCCGCUGCUAUAGAAAGCGUUGUUACAUAUCCGGCAUUUUCUUCCUUUUUUCUUAUUUUGCAGAUAAAAUUCCUCAGGUGGUAACAACGAGAAUGUCCUCAUAACACUUUACAGCCAGAGUGGCUGUAAAUUAGACAGGGUUACUUCACGUGCGCCUGUUACGUCAAACGCACAACAUAAUAAAGAACGGUGUUAUUGGGCUACAGUGUUUCGCUAACGCCUGAGAGACUUCCCGCGUAGGCCAUCGUCGCAUUCUUUAAGCGUCUCAGAGGAUAUAAAACCGAUUGUACACCAACAAGAUACAAUACACGACCCCGCUACCAAAAGUGGAUUCAUGCUGGCACAGCUUUCUUUAUUGUAGAACAUUG